UUGACUGUGAAUUUGUUACCUUCUGUGCUGGCUCCGGCAAGUGCACGUUGGUGACUUUCAUUCCCAACACCCUUGUGAACCUUUGGCCUCUUGCUAGCCCCGGCUGGCAGAGGAUUUUUUACACACUCGAAUGUAAUGAAAAACCUCUUGUUGUGCGCAAGCACUAAUGUA
rnacentral:misc_RNA from 1 species